rnacentral:lncRNA from 1 species
CACUUCAGCUGGAUGCAGUGUCCCAGCAGAGGUUGCGAGGUCCCCUGCAUUGUCCUAUAAUGUCGAUGCAGUGCUCAUGCAGUAGAUGCAGUGUCACACAAAGUGGAGGCAUGGUGGUGUAUUGUAGUAUGCAGUGCCAAUGAAGGUGAAUGCAGUGAUCCUGCAGUGAUGGCAGUGCGCCAGCAGUCCCACUUCAGCUGGAUGCAGUGUUGCUGCAGUGGUUGCAGUGCCCCCUGCAUUGUCCGGCAAUGUGGAUGCAGUGCCCAGGCAGUGGAUGCACUGUCACACAAGGUGGAUGCAGUAUGGUAUGACAGAUGAUGCAGUUCUCAUGAAGGUGGAUGCAGUUUCCCUGCAGUGCUUGCAGUGCCCCCCGCAUAGUCCAGGAAUGCGGAUGCAGUAGUCAUGCAGUGGAUGCAGUGUUCCACAAGGUGGAUGCAGUAUGUUGUGAUGGAGGAUGCAGGGCCCAUGAAGGUGGAUGCAGUGAUGCCAUGGUGGUUGCAGUGCCCUCUACAGUUCCCUGAAUGUGGAUGCAGUGACCAUGCAGUAGUUGCAGUGUCCCACAAGGUGGAUGUUGUAUGUUGUGAUGCAAGAUGCAGUGCCCACGGAGGUGGAUGCACUGAGCCUGUGCUGAAUGCAGUGCACCUGCAGUGCGACUUCAGCUGUAUGCAGUGUCCCUGCAGGGGUUGCAGUGCCAACUGCAUUGUCCAAGAACGUGGAUGCACUGCCCAGGCAUUGGAUGCAGUGUCCCAGAAGGUGCAUGGAGUAUGUUGUGAUGGAGGAUGCAGUGCCCAUGAGGGCAGAUGCAGUGAUACUGCAGUGAUUGCAGUGCGCCUGUAGUGCCACUUCAGCUGGAUCCAGAGUGCCUGCAGGGGUUGGAGUGCCUGUUGCAGUGUCCCUGAACUUGGCUGCAGUGCCGAUGCCAUGGUUGCAGUGUCACUGAAGGUAGAUGCAGUAUGUUGUGAUGGAGGAUGCAGUGCCCAUGAAGGUGGAUGCAGUGAUCCUGCAGUGGUUGCAGUGCCCCCUGCAAGGUGCCUGAAUGAGAAUGCCAUGCCCUUGCAGUGGAUGCAGUGUCGCUGAAGGUAGAUGCAGUAUGUUAUCAUGGAUGAUGCAUUGCCCAUUAAGGAGGAUGCAGUGAUUUUGCAGUGAUUGCAGUGCACAUGCAGUGACAAUUCAGCUGGCUGCAGUGUGCCUGCAGUGGUUGCAGUGCCCCCUCUGUAUCUCUGAAUACGAAUGCAGUGCCCAUGAAGUGGAUGUAGAGUACCAAAAGAUGGAUGUGAUAUGUUGUGGCAGAGAAUGCAGUGCCCAUGACAUGGCAUGCAGUGUUCCUGCACUGGUUGUUGUGCCACCUUCUGUGUCCCUGAUUGUGGAUACAGUGUCCCUGCAGUGGUUGCAGUGUUGCCAGCAUUGUCCAGGAAUGCAGAUGCAAUGACAAGGCAGUGGAUGCUGUGUCACACAAGUUGGAUGCAGUAUGUUGUGACAUAGGAUGCAGUGCCCAUGAAGGUGGAUGCAGUGAUCCAGCAGUGGUUUCCGUGCACACUGUAGUGUCCCUAAAUGUGCAUGCAGUGAACAUGAAUUGGAUGCUGUGAACAUUCAGUGAUUGCAGUGCACCUGCCAUGCCACUUCAGCUGCAUACACUGUGCCUGCAGUGGUUGCAGUGCUGCCUGCAUUGUCCGGGAAUGUGGAUGCAGUGCCCAGGCAGUGUAUGCAGUGUCACACAAGUUGGAUGCAGUAUGUUGUGACAGAGGAUGCAGUGCCCAUGAAGGUGGAUGCAGUGAUCCUGAAGUGGUUUCCGAGUACACUGUAGUGUCCCUGAAUGUGGAUGCAGUGAACAAGCAGUGGAUGCACUGAACAUUCAGUGAUUGCAGUGCAACUGCAGUGCCACUUCAGAUGAAUGCAGUGUUGCUGCAGUGGUUGCAGAGCCCACUGCAGUUGCCCAUGAAGGAGGAUGCAGUGAUCCUGCAGUGGUUGCAGUGCACCCUGCUCUGUUCCUGAAUGUGGAUGUUGUGAACAUGCAGUGGAUGCAGUGAUCCUGCAGUGACUGCAUUGCACCUGCAUUUCCACAUAAGUUGGAAGCAGUGUCCCUGCAGGGGUUUCCGUGCCACUUUCUGUGUCCCUGAUAGUCAAUGCAGUGCCCAUGCAGUGGAUGCAGUGUACCUAAAGGUUUAUGAAGUAUGUUGUGAUGGAGGAUGCAAAUCCAUGAUGGUGGAUGCAGUGUUGCUGCAGUGGUUGCACUUCCCCUGGCAUUGUCCUAGAAUGCGGAUGCAGUGGUAAAGCAGAGGAUGCA